UGCAGUUCUGUGCCAACAAACUGGACAAGAAGGACUUCUUUGGCAAGUCAGAUCCAUUCAUAGUGUUCUACAGGAGUAACGAGGAUGGAACGUUUACUAUCUGCCAUAAAACUGAGGUUGUGAAGAACACGUUGAACCCAGUGUGGCAGUCAUUCACCAUUCCAGUCAGAGCGCUCUGCAAUGGGGACUUUGACAGGACGAUCAAGGUGGAGGUGUACGACUGGGACCGCGAUGGCAGCCAUGACUUCAUAGGGGAGUUCACCACUAGUUACCGGGAGCUAGCUCGAGGCCAGAGCCAGUUCAACGUCUAUGAGGUG